rnacentral:rRNA from 1 species
UAGGGAAUCUUCGGCAAUGGACGAAAGUCUGACCGAGCAACGCCGCGUGAGUGAAGAAGGUUUUCGGAUCGUAAAACUCUGUUGUUAGAGAAGAACAAGGACGUUAGUAACUGAACGUCCCCUGACGGUAUCUAACCAGAAAGCCACGGCUAACUACGUGCCAGCAGCCGCGGUAAUACGUAGGUGGCAAGCGUUGUCCGGAUUUAUUGGGCGUAAAGCGAGCGCAGGCGGUUUCUUAAGUCUGAUGUGAAAGCCCCCGGCUCAACCGGGGAGGGUCAUUGGAAACUGGGAGACUUGAGUGCAGAAGAGGAGAAUGGAAUUCCAUAUGUAGCGGUGAAAUGCGUAGAUAUAUGGAGGAACACCAGUGGCGAAGGCGGCUAUCUGGUCUGUAACUGACGCUGAGGCUCGAAAGCGUGGGGAGCAAACAGG